UAGGGAAUCUUCGGCAAUGGACGAAAGUCUGACCGAGCAACGCCGCGUGAGUGAAGAAGGUUUUCGGAUCGUAAAACUCUGUUGUUAGAGAAGAACAAGGACGUUAGUAACUGAACGUCCCCUGACGGUAUCUAACCAGAAAGCCACGGCUAACUACGUGCCAGCAGCCGCGGUAAUACGUAGGUGGCAAGCGUUGUCCGGAUUUAUUGGGCGUAAAGCGAGCGCAGGCGGUUUCUUAAGUCUGAUGUGAAAGCCCCCGGCUCAACCGGGGAGGGUCAUUGGAGACUGGGAGACUUGAGUGCAGAAGAGGAGAGUGGAAUUCCAUGUGUAGCGGUGAAAUGCGUAGAUAUAUGGAGGAACACCAGUGGCGAAGGCGGCUCUCUGGGCUGUAACUGACGCUGAGGCUCGAAAGCGUGGGGAGCAAACAGG
rnacentral:rRNA from 1 species